UACGUAGGGGGCAAGCGUUGUCCGGAUUUAUUGGGCGUAAAGAGCGUGUAGGCGGCCAGACAGGUCCGUUGUGAAAACUCGAGGCUCAACCUCGAGACGCCGAUGGAAACCGUCUGGCUAGAGUCCGGAAGAGGAGAGUGGAAUUCCUGGUGUAGCGGUGGAAUGCGCAGAUAUCAGGAGAAACAUCCGUGGCGAAGGCGGCUCUCUGGGACGGUACUGACGCUGAGACGCGAAAGCGUGGGGAGCGAACAGG
rnacentral:rRNA from 1 species